AUUGAACGCUGGCGGCAGGCUUAACACAUGCAAGUCGAGCGGAGAGAGGUAGCUUGCUACUGAUCUUAGCGGCGGACGGGUGAGUAAUGCUUAGGAAUCUGCCUAUUAGUGGGGGACAACAUUUCGAAAGGAAUGCUAAUACCGCAUACGUCCUACGGGAGAAAGCAGGGGAUCUUCGGACCUUGCGCUAAUAGAUGAGCCUAAGUCGGAUUAGCUAGUUGGUGGGGUAAAGGCCUACCAAGGCGACGAUCUGUAGCGGGUCUGAGAGGAUGAUCCGCCACACUGGGACUGAGACACGGCCCAGACUCCUACGGGAGGCAGCAGUGGGGAAUAUUGGACAAUGGGCGCAAGCCUGAUCCAGCCAUGCCGCGUGUGUGAAGAAGGCCUUAUGGUUGUAAAGCACUUUAAGCGAGGAGGAGGCUACUUUAGAUAAUACCUAGAGAUAGUGGACGUUACUCGCAGAAUAAGCACCGGCUAACUCUGUGCCAGCCGCCGCGGUAAAAC
rnacentral:rRNA from 1 species